GUAACGUUUUGACGUUUUUAUCUUUUUAAGCAAAAUAAAUCUUCUUUGAGUUUAAUUGAAUUAGCCAUUCAGUAUAGAUAUUUUGCUUAAAUUUGUAUUAAAUUGAAAAACGUUUGACGUUUUUCUCCUUUUAAGUAAAAUGCCGUUUUGGAUUCGCUUAUUUUGGAACAAACGUUUGCUUGACCAUGAGAUAAUUUUAGGUUAGAUUCGAAAUCAUCAUUCGUAUUGACUUUGCCUGUAUGCAUUAAGAACUAGAUGUAAUUUUGUUUUGGUUUGUGUCACGGCUAAGAUGCCAUAAUGACGAUGUGAGUGCAGUAAUGGCUCCUGAAUAUAUGUAUCUCAUGUAAACCAUCUUGACGAACCUAGGGAGACGCCAAAAAAAGAUUAUCGCCAUUCGAAUUCGUUCGUUGGCGCGAUAAUUGAGAUAAUAGGGGAAUUGUUUAGUGAAUGUUAUUUAAGGGAAGUUUGACUAAAGCUCGUUCUUAUUCGUUCGCUACAAGGCUGGACUGUAGAAGUUAUCGCGGUUUUCUAGUUACGACGUUAGUGAAACUUUUAAUAGUGAUUUUGUGCCCUUCGUCUGCGUACCGAAGUAAAACUGUACGUGUUUCCGGUCUGCAAGACCGUGGUUUUCGCGAUCCUUCUACGUCGAUCGUUGGAUUUGUACAAAAAAAGGUAAUUGUUAGAUUUUAGGGAAGUUACUCGACUAAAUUUUAAUUUGUGCUAUUUCGUGUUGGACUUUUCCAGCGCUUAGGCGCUUUUUUUUAUUGUACGGGCUGGUUCAGCAAAUUCUUUCGUGACAAGCGGAGUCACACUGGGGUUUCCCGUGGCGGUUUCCCGCCACCGUUAUUCGUCCUACGAGUCCGGACGGUUUUUUUGAGCUCGGGAGUCCGCUAAGGCCCGCCUUUUAAAAGGUAGUUAAACGGAGGGAGGUGAAGUCGUUAGUCAUCGAACGAAGACCUCCGACGGCCGCCAAUUACCGUCGUUUACGUCCACCUCACGCUACAACCCCCCCGGUGGACAGAGUACCGAGAGCACGGUCCGCGUGCGUUGUCAAGGGUCGCGCGUAGGACCGGACCCUAUCCGAAGGCGAAGGGUUUCAUUUCAUCGCGCGCGGUAGAGCCCACCGAGGGUGAAGCCGUGCGAAGGGUACGUUGGCCCCGGUCCCUAGGAGAA